ACUGGGUCUAAUACCGAAUACACACCACUUUGUGGUGGAAAGCUUUUGCGGUGUGGGAUGAGCCUGCGGCCUAUCAGCUUGUUGGUGGGGUAAUGGCCUACCAAGGCGUCGACGGGUAGCCGGCCUGAGAGGGUGUACGGCCACAUUGGGACUGAGACACGGCCCAGACUCUUACGGGAGGCAGCAGUGGGGAAUAUUGCACAAUGGGCGAAAGCCUGAUGCAGCGACGCCGCGUGGGGGAUGAAGGCCUUCGGGUUGUAAACUCCUUUCGCUAGGGACGAAGCUUUUGUGACGGUACCUAGAGAAGAAGCACCGGCUAACUACGUGCCAGCAGCCGCGGUAAUACGUAGGGUGCGAGCGUUGUCCGGAAUUACUGGGCGUAAAGAGCUCGUAGGUGGUUUGUCGCGUCGUCUGUGAAAUCCCGGGGCUUAACUCCGGGCGUGCAGGCGAUACGGGCAUAACUUGAGUGCUGUAGGGGAGACUGGAAUUCCUGGUGUAGCGGUGAAAUGCGCAGAUAUCAGGAGGAACACCAAUGGCGAAGGCAGGUCUCUGGGCAGUAACUGACGCUGAGGAGCGAAAGCAUGGGUAGCGAACAGGAUUAGAUACCCUGGUAGUCCAUGCCGUAAACGGUGGGCGCUAGGUGUAGGGGUCUUCCACGACUUCUGUGCCGCAGCUAACGCAUUAAGCGCCCCGCCUGGGGAGUACGGCCGCAAGGCUAAAACUCAAAGGAAUUGACGGGGGCCCGCACAAGCGGCGGAGCAUGUGGAUUAAUUCGAUGCAACGCGAAGAACCUUACCUGGGCUUGACAUGGACCGGAUCGGCGUAGAGAUACGUUUUCCCUUGUGGUCGGUUCACAGGUGGUGCAUGGUUGUCGUC
rnacentral:rRNA from 1 species